AGCAGUGGUGUUGGCUCGUGUGUGUGGUUCGAGUAUUGCGACGAAGGUCGCGGUGUUCGAGGGAGUCGUGCGUGUGUUGUUGUGCGUAGGUCGAGAGCGAGCGAAGGGUGCGUCGCUGCUGUGCGCGCCAGCGAACCGAAGAAGGCUCGAGUGGGGCUGUGUGGCGAGCGAAGGCCACCGGAGUUCCGUCGCCGGAAUUUUGUGCCGGCGAAAGUCAGUGGUCCCAAUUUCAUAAGCGGCUCGUUCUAUUAAGUCAGCGAAAAUUCUCCGUUACAAGACUAGGUGAGCUGGUGCUGCUGCAUGACAUCAAGCAUAUGGGGGCUAGACUGUAGUUUGAAGUUAACUUUUGGUUUGAUCAUUAAUGAAUUUUAUAGAACAUUGUUACAUGGUUUGAGUUUGAGUAAAAAGGGGUCAUCUGUGAUUCCCGAGUUGUAAUUACAUUUUCUAUUCCGCUGCAGUUUGGUUUUGAGACAAUGAAUUUGAGUUACCGUAUUUCUAAUUAUGCCUUGCGUUCCAUCGCGGCGGUAACACUCCCAA